UAGGGAAUCUUCGGCAAUGGACGAAAGUCUGACCGAGCAACGCCUCGUGAGUGAAGAAGGUUUUCGGAUCGUAAAACUCUGUUGUUAGAGAAGAACAAGGACGUUAGUAACUGAACGUCCCCUGACGGUAUCUAACCAGAAAGCCACGGCUAACUACGUGCCAGCAGCCGCGGUAAUACGUAGGUGGCAAGCGUUGUCCGGAUUCAUUGGGCGUAAAGCGAGCGCAGGCGGUUUCUUAAGUCUGAUGUGAAAGCCCCCGGCUCAACCGGGGAGAGUCAUUGGAAACUGGGAGACUUGAGUGCAGAAGAGGAGAGUGGAAUUCCAUGUGUAGCGGUGAAAUGCGUAGAUAUAUGGAGGAACACCAGUGGCGAAGGCGGCUCUGUGGUCAGUAACUGACGCUGAGGAAAGAAAGCGUGGGGAGCAAACAGG
rnacentral:rRNA from 1 species